rnacentral:rRNA from 1 species
AUCGAACUCGGAGAUAGCUGGUUCUCCUCGAAAUAGCUUUAGGGCUAGCCUUGAGAAAAUAGCAUGUGGGGGUAGAGCACUGAAGGAGCUAGGGGCCUAACCAGGUUACCGAACUCUAUCAAACUCCGAAUACCAUAUGUGUAAGCUCAGGAGUCAGACUGCGGGAGCUAAGUUCCGUGGUCAAAAGGGAAAGAGCCCAGAUCGUCAAUUAAGGUCCCAAAGAUAUAGCUAAGUGGAAAACGAUGUGAUUUUGCGUAAACAACCAGGAUGUUGGCUUAGAAGCAGCCAUUCAUUCAAAGAGUGCGUAAUAGCUCACUGGUCGAGUGAAGUUGCGCGGAAAAUUACCGGGGCUAAGCUAUACACCGAAAUUGCGGGUUCGCACUUGAAAGAUAGUGUGAGCGGUAGAGGAGCAUUCUGUAGUAGGAAGAAGCAUGAUCGAAAGGACAUGUGGACGAGGCAGAAGAGAGAAUGCUGGAAUAAGUAGCGAGAGCAAGGUGAGAAUCCUUGCCGUCGAAAGUCUAAGGUUUCCUGGGGAAGGUUCGUCCGCCCAGGGUAAGUCGGGACCUAAGGUGAGGCCGAAAGGCGUAGCCGAUGGACAGCAGGUGGAAAUUCCUGCACUAUAGAUAUACUUAAAAGACACAAGGGACGCAGAAGUGGAAGGUAAGCGAGGAAGAGGAAAAACUCGUAUCGAAAGAUAUAGUGAAAAUAAAGUAACGAAUUGCCAAGAAGCACGCUGACGAGAAAAGCUUGUGGAGCUUGUAUAGAUGUACCCGUACCGCAAACCGACACAGGUAGAUGAGGAGAGGAUCCUAAGACGAGCGGGAGAAGCAUUGUUAAGGAACUCGGCAAAUUGACCCCGUAACUUCGGGAGAAGGGGUACCUAUGUAAAAGUAGGUCGCAGAGAAAAGGCCCAAGCAACUGUUUAACAAAAACACAGGUUUCUGCUAAAUCGAAAGAUGAAGUAUAGGAGCUGACGCCUGCCCAGUGCUGGAAGGUUAAGGGGAGAGGUUAGAACAAGAUUCGAAGCUUCGAACCAAAGCCCCAGUGAACGGCGGCCGUAACUAUAACGGUCCUAAGGUAGCGAAAUUCCUUGUCAGGUAAG